AUAAUGUUUCUGUUGUCCAUGUUUGUAGAUGACAGCCCAGGCACGCCUCAGACGUAUAUCUGAUCGAGGGUCCCCAGUGUAUUGAGACAAUCGGUUCUAAACCAAGCCGUCCAAAUUAUGUGAAACUAUAAGGAUGAAGUGAAAAUUAGGAAAGCAAGACAGAAUCAUUCCUUGAAGAAAUGGCGAAGAGCAAGUUUGAAUAUGUGAAGCAGUUUGAAGCAGAAGAUAAAUGUCUGCCCAAUUGCUGGAUAGUUAUAAGAGUUGAUGGAAAGUCCUUUCACAGAUUUGCAGAUGUGCACCACUUUGUGAAGCCCAAUGAUGACCGGGGUCUGAACCUGAUGACCCGGGCGGCCCAGUGUGUGAUGGACGAGUACAAGGAUGUGGUACUCUGCUAUGGACAGAGUGAUGAGUACAGUUUUGUCUUCAAGAAAAACACAAAUGUCUUCAACAGACGUGGAAGUAAAAUAAUGAGUAAUGUGGUCAGUUUGUUCACCUCCUCCUAUGUCUUCUAUUGGCCGCGAUAUUUCAACACACAAUCUAUGCAGUACCCCCCAGCAUUUGAUGGGCGUGUAGUCUUGUAUCCUGGGGACAAGAAUCUUCGAGACUAUCUGGCAUGGAGGCAAGCAGAUUGUAAGCAGAUUUAUUGAGCAUGUUUUUGUUUGGUCAUAUGAGAUCAAGGUUAUGAUGAAAUAUAACGGUACAGUAAUUAGAAAUCUCUUUUAUUGCCUAGAUCAGGUGUUUAAAACUCGUUUUCUAAUAUUAAAGGAAAAUAUAAAAAAAUUUCAUUGUCUUUAAUUAAUAAAAAGAUAUUAUUAGACAUAUAUUUUUUGUAGGUCAUAUUAACAAUUUGUAUAACACAUGUUUUUGGAAGCUGGUGCAAGAAAGGGGGCUAACUCCUGCACAAUCCCAGGAAAAGUUGAAGGGCACCUUGUCUAGUGAUAAAAAUGAGCUGCUAUUCAACGAUUUUAGUCUGAACUACAAUAACUUGCCAGAAAUGUACAGGAAAGGAACAGUCAUUAUUCAUCAAAAGGAAAAAGAGCUGGAUGCAAAUUCCAUGUCACCAUUGGAAAGGAGUCCACGGAAUUCUGUCUCAUUUAGUUUCCAAGGCGACUACAUCCCUCGGACACGAGUCCAAAUUCUCCACAGUGAUAUCAUCAGCGAAAAAUUCUGGACUGAACAUCCACAAAUUUUAGAUGGAGUCAAAAAAUAGUAAAUGUAAUGGUAGUAUGUGCUGAAUGGUGAUUUUUAUUUUUAUUUUUUUUGGAGGGGGACCUUUUUUUUUUAAUAACUUUUAAAAAUGAUGGUAUGUGUAUGUAUGGACAAAAAAACAUUGUGAACUGUAAAAACUCAGGCAGCCAUUCAAAUAGUUUGCUUGGAAUGUGUUAUGAAUGUUGUUUUACAAAGUGGAGUGGACAUUUCUACAUUAUGUUUUGUACGAUGUACAUAUAGUUUAUUUCCCGUUUUAUUCAUGUUUAUAAUUAAUUACCAUUAUACUCAAUUACGCAAUAUGUACCAUAGUGUCUCUUAAAGCAAUGUGCAUGUUCAAGAUUGUUAACAUAAAUGUAUAUCUAUAAUGUUAUCAUUUACAAGCAUUGUUUCAUUUCUACUGUCAUUUAUUUAAUUAAAUACGUAGA
rnacentral:misc_RNA from 1 species